rnacentral:tRNA from 2 species
GGGCCCGUAGAGGAGCGGAGUCCUCGGCUCCCUGUCACGGAGCAGAUCGUGGGUUCGAAUCCCAUCGGGCCCG